UGGAAGGUGGCUCAGUGAUAGAGUGCUUGCCUUGCAUGCAUGAGGUCCUGGGUUCGAUUCCUCAGCAUCACAU
rnacentral:tRNA from 1 species